rnacentral:rRNA from 1 species
UAAAAAGCUCGUAGUUGGAUCUGUGUAUCGGACGGUCGGUUCGCCGCUCGCGGUGUUUGACUGACCGGUUCGGACGUCAUGCCGGUGGGACCUCGGCGCAAGUCGGGGUUCCGUAACUUACCCUCCGCGCUGCUCUUCAUUGAGUGGUUCGGUGGGCCGGCACGUUUACUUUGAACAAAUUUGAGUGCUCAAAGCAGGCCUUAUGUUGCCUGGAAACUGUGUGCAUGGAAUAAUGAAAGAGGACCUUGGUUCUAUUUUGUUGGCUUUCUGAACUCGAGGUAAUGAUUAACAGGGACAGACGGGGGCAUUCGUAUUGCGACGUUAGAGGUGAAAUUCUUGGAUCGUCGCAAGACGGACCGAUGCGAAAGCGUUUGCCAAGAAUGUUUUCGCUAAUCAAGAACGAAAGUUAGAGGUUCGAAGGCGAUUAGAUACCGCCCUAGUUCUAACCAUAAACGAUGUCAGCCAGCGAUGCGCCGAUGUUCCUCCGAUGACACGGCGCGCAACUUCCAGGAAACCAAAACUUUUGGGUUCCGGGG